rnacentral:rRNA from 1 species
AUCUAUGACCAAAUCACCAUUCAUGCACCAGAUCUCGUUGGAUCUUUUGAAGCUAAACAGGUUCGGGCCUGGUUCGGGCUUGGUUGGGUGACCACCAACUCGUCCCAGGUGUUGCAGACG